AGAAACGAGAGUGGAAAGAUAACAGCAGAACUUCAAAGAAGAAGAAGCAAAGAAGAAGAAGAACAGCAGAGUUCGUUUCUGAUAACAGCGAACAGUACAGGUGAAGGUAGAUUUCUCAGGUUAGCUGUGUCUUCGAGUACGUAAUAUACAUCUCAUAUUGACGGAGAAACAGAUUCGUUAACUUACAUUCAUUGCGGAAGUCUUUCCAUCAAAUUCAUUUGUGCCUUCUUUUCAGCUUCAGUUUUGUAAGCCGUGAGGACAUUUUAUAGCAUAACUAUAGCAAAGUGGUGCAAAUGAACUAAAGUUAACGUUAGAGACAGAUAACAUUUACUUUACAUCAAAGGUGUGUGACGGACGGCGUGGCCUUCCAGGUGGUGGAGUCGGAAUCACGGGAUCAAGAUGGUGAGAGCUGGAGGUGUUCUGAAACUGGUGGCUUUGGUUGCUGCCUUCCUGUUGGCUGUCUUUUUUGCUUUUGAACUUCUUGACAUCAACAUGGAUUUCAACAUCGGACAGGUGUUUGCCAGAUCAGCACCACAAGAAACAGGCUCUACCAUACCACCAAAGUACAAGUGUGGCCUUUCAAAAGCAUGUCCAGAGGGACACUUCUCCUUUAAAAUGACCAGUGGGGCUGCGAGUGUCGUUGGACCAAAGAUAUGCUUGGAAGACAACAUUGUGAUGAGUGGAGUCAAGAACAACGUAGGACGUGGGAUAAACAUUGCGCUCAUUAACGGAAAAACAGGAAGCGUUUUAAAAACAGACUCCUUUGACAUGUGGGCUGGAGAUGUCAACGAACUAAUCAAUUUCAUGAAGACCAUUGAAGACGGGACUCUAGUCAUGAUGGCCACCUUUGAUGAUCCUGCUUCAAAGUUGAAUGAGGAGGCCAGGAAGAUGAUUGCUGAUCUCGGCAGCAGUAGUGUGUCCACAUUAGGCUUCAGGGACAAUUGGAUAUUUGUUGGAGGGAAGGGCAUCAAGACAAAGAGUCCCUUCGAACAGCACAUCAAGAACAACGCAGAGACCAACAAGUAUGAAGGCUGGCCAGAGGUGCUGGAGAUGGAGGGAUGCAUCCCCCAGAGACAAGACUGAGCUAAACCUCCAUCCCCUUUUACUUACACACACACACACACACACACACCACUGAAAUCUACCGUACCCAUUCACCACUACCACUACGUAACCUGACACACACACACACACACACACACACACACACACACACACACACACACACACAUUUUAUAGUUUACCUGUCCUACUCCAUUCAGUUCUGUCCAGCUUCCAAUCCAUUGUGUCCUGUUUUAGCAAAAGUCUAGAUCUGCUGUUUUCAGGGCCUUCCUCACAAGGCUCUAGGGAGGUGUCAGGAACAUUAUAAAUCAAGACUGUCCAGCUUUUUGUGUACCUACGACUACUUCCAUGUCAUUUUUAGUGAAAAUUGGGGCCAGUCAAGAAAGGAAGAAAAAAAAAAAUCAUCAUCACUAUGUCACACAAUAGUAGCAACCCAGCUGCCUCCUCCUCAUCUCUGUAUUAAGUCCUGGACUCAAAUAACAUUUCAAAGGAGAUUUUGUUUAAGAUUUUUGGUGGGCAACUCGGUCCGAAUUAGUGAGGACAGCUCAGAGAUUGUUGCUGCCCAGAGACACACAUGUAUCCAGAAAAUCCACAAGCAUUCCUUUGGUUGAUGCCUUGACCAUUUGGUGAUUUUGUAGUAUUUGAUAUAUAAAUAUCUAAGUAAUUUAUUGAACCGAGUAAUGUAAAAAAAGGGAGAGAAAUCAUUGCUGGUAUAUUGCUGUAUAAACCCCUCCCUUUUUUACUUGUAUUCCCCAAAUGUAAAUGUGAAAGAUUGAUCAGUGGUCUACUGUGGACAGAUGUGAUGUGUUAAUUUAAAAUAUAGCUAGUCAGUAGCAAAAUACUUGAUUCUUGUAGUUUUGAACAUGCGUUAUACGUAGUGAAAGGGAACAGGCUUAAAGCUUUUGCCAAAGCUGUUAGGAGUGUGUGAGCGUGAGAGAGAGAGAGAGAGAGAGAGAGAGUGUGAGUGAGUGACUUACCAGGCACAAUUAAACUCACCAAGCCAUCAAACUCCAAAAUGCAGUUGACAAGGUUUGUCAUAGUCACUUUAGAGCAAUGUGAAAACCUUCCACCCCACCCUCCCAGCAAAUGCCCUGGAGCAGUAUCGGCCACCCAUCAAUGCAAUCCAUUUAUUCCUGUGAAAAUAGCAGUUGCAGAGUGAAGAGUUGUUUUCUAGAACCUUUUUUUUUUUAGUUUUUCAGUUAUUCAGAAAGGACUUCUUCUGUUUCGAGAUCUAAAGGUAAAGCACAAGAACCGAUUGUUUAAGAAUGUCCAAUGCCAUACGCAUAUAAUGUUUGAUCCAUAUUUUUACAUUUUGUUGACAAUGUCUUUUCAUUAAAUUAAUUAUUGUAUGUGAUUACCAUUGAUGAUUGUCUUAGUAAAUUGUUUGUAAUUGAUUUGGUUAAUUUACAUUUUAACAACAUUCAUGUGUUUCAGAAAAGAAAGUCUGUUUUAUUUUUGUAAAGAGAACAGCGAAAAAGUUGUAACUACAAAUUGAACCCUCGUUUCAGACAUAACACCUUUGUAGAUUUGCACACAUAAAAUGUAUUCUAUCGGUGAAUACAUAAAGUGUAUUCUUUCAGUGCUUGCACCAAUCGGUUUAGUGUGCUUAGAUCAGUCCAGAUAGUCCAGGGGUGGCGAACCUGCGGCUCUUUGCCUCCUCUCGUGCGGCUCGCGGCUGCUCAACUGAUGUUCUCACUUCUCCUUGGAGUUUUUUUUUUUUUUUUUUUUUUAAAUAGCCUAUUAUUUCUGGUAAAUGAAAAUGCUUUUCAUAAGUUGAUAGUACUGCUAAUCGUUAGGCUGCAAUGUUUAAAUUAAAAUAAUUUUACCGUCAUGUUAUGGAUAGGAAUCUAGCCUAAAAAGAAGCAGACUUUGUGUCUAACCAGGUGUAAUGAUACUGUUGCAAUCAGGAAAACCCUGACGCUAAGCGUAAAUAAAAAGAGGACAUUCAAAAGGAGGAUUCAUCUUUUUGUAGGCUAUCAUAGCCUUUCUGGUUAAUAUGUCAACGUAACCUAAAUAACACCGUUAAACGUGUUCUACACGUUAGUUUGGUACUUGGUAUGCCAGACUUAACUGUUGCAUAAAGCUUCAAAACUGAACAUUUCCCAAAGACACUGACUGACUUUUGCAAGUACAAGGUAAAGGUAGGCUAUAUAGACGUCAGUCAGAGAAGUAGACUCGUUUUCUUUUUAUGUAUUUUCUUUUAAAAAAAUUCCUGAAAACGAUAAUUUGUAGCAUCUGCCAAGUGUCUCACUUUAAAUGAAAAGAGAAGAUCUAUUUUUGUAGGCCUAAGUCGCUGUUGUAGUGUGGGCAUCUUUUUAUUGUUGUGCGGCUCUUUUUUGAGUUGUGGAAUUUUUUUUGGCUCUUUAUGCUGGACUGGUUAGCCACCCCUGAGAUAGUCAGUCGAGAAGUGUGUGUGUGUGUGUGUGUGUGUGUGUGUUUGUGUGUGUGUGUUAGAUAUGACAUUCCCUAUUCACCAUUCACUGAACUGUGUACAACCAAUUACAAGAAAUCUCACUAUUCAGGAUACUAAACAUUCAGGUCAAACCCUAAUGUGGAGUCACUGUUGAAUUCUUAGCUUUCUAGACUCAUUAACAUGUCUCCCCUAUAUAAUGUGAACUGGUCUGACUGUAAAAGGUCAUACUCGCAUACCUCUACAAAUAGGGAUGAGAGCUUUAACCUUCCCAACAAUGCAGUGUGUUGCCAACUUAAGCUUGUGUCUUAUAGUUUGAUCUUUGAUACCUACUUAAAAUCUUUUGCGUGCCUGUGUGUGUGUGUGUGUGUGUGUGGGUGCAUGUGGACGUAUACGUGUAUGGCUGAGUCAUCUAAAAAGAUAGGGACUUGAGGCUGUUUGUCUACUGUAGUGCAGCACAUUGAAUUAGUUUUUUUUGUACACUGCGACACCAAGUGCUUUUAUUGUCCUACUCUGAUCGCUUUUGCCACAUUGAGGACUGAAGUGCUUCCUUUUUUCUAUCAUAUCUGUCUGCAGCUCUGAAAAUGUGUCCACCACCAUGUGCCUUGUCCGGUACAAAGUCCCGCCUGCUUGUAAAUUGUACAUACAGUGCUCUUAUAAUAUUCACUGUUGUAGUAGUGAUGCCUUGUAUAAGUAAACCUGUAAUUUGGUGUUCAAAUAAAACCAGUUGUCAAGAGA